rnacentral:rRNA from 1 species
GACGAAUGCUGGCUGCGUGCUUAACACAUGCAAGUCGAACGGUGAUGGGUGGAGCUUGCUCUGCUUUGAUCAGUGGCGAACGGGUGAGUAACACGUGAGUAACCUGCCCCAGACUCUGGAAUAACCCCGGGAAACCGGUGCUAAUACCGGAUAUGACACAGAAUCGCAUGGUUUCUGUGUGGAAAGUUUUUCGGUUUGGGAUGGACUCGCGGCCUAUCAGCUUGUUGGUGAGGUAAUGGCUCACCAAGGCGACGACGGGUAGCCGGCCUGAGAGGGCGACCGGCCACACUGGGACUGAGACACGGCCCAGACUCCUACGGGAGGCAGCAGUGGGGAAUAUUGCACAAUGGGCGCAAGCCUGAUGCAGCGACGCCGCGUGAGGGAUGGAGGCCUUCGGGUUGUAAACCUCUUUCAGCUCUGAAGAAGCGAAAGUGACGGUAGGAGCAGAAGAAGCACCGGCUAACUACGUGCCAGCCGCCGCGGUAAAAC